ensembl:ncRNA asRNA:CR45604 antisense RNA:CR45604
AUAAGCGUGCUUUUACAUCAGCCAAAGUACUUAAGAUAAUGCAGAUAGUGAAUCAAAUAUAAAUAAAACCGCAACUUGGCAAUAAUCCGUACAAGGAAUCGGUAAGCUAUAGGUUCCUGAAAGUAAAUAUAUAAUAUAUAGAUUCCCUCCUUUACCUUAACCAUGCCAAAGGAUCUGAAUAAGAGUCAUUUUUUUUGGGGUAUUUACCCGUAUGACCAUGGAUUCGAUUGCCGUGGUGGGAUGGAUCGAAACUGGUCACGGGAUUGUACAUAUCCGUAUAAAAUAGUACAAUAAUUUAUUUCAUUCUCAUUGACAAAUAGAUUGAGAGCUCGUCGUGGAUUACUCGUAGGUAUAAAGCACACUAUGCAUGUAAGUAUUAUGUUUGUCUGUAUAUAAGAUGUCAGCGCAAGUAUGUAUAUGUAUAUAUAUAUAUGUAUUAUAUGAAGUGUAUAUAUAUAUAUAUACACAUAUACUAUAAAUUGUAUAUAAAUAUAAUGUAUAUGUAAUAUGUCUGUGUAUAAGUAUCAAUGUAUUAAGUUAAUUGCUUAGCGUAAAGCACAGAGAAUUUUGAUAUGAGAAUGACUGAGAACAUUCCAGCAAGCGGUGCGCUCAGAGAUCGGAUACGGGCUCCAUCGGGACCUGGGAUCUAUGCAGCACCUAGCAUCCUUCUCCAUCUUUCACUCCAACGUCCCAGUUCGCUGGGUGAACGCAAAGGCAACAAUGAGAGAAAAAUCGGCAAACAAGUGACUAGAAAUGAUGAUAACUCUCCCUGAUUCGAAAGUAUGUUGUGUUGAGCAUUGGUCGGGCUGAAUAGGUGGAGUGGGUCGCCGCCUACGGGUUUAGUGAAAGACAUCCAUGAACGGAAAGUAGGCCUGCUCCGGCUCGAGCAGAUCCACGAGGUAGCAAACGGUGCCGGCCACACCCUCGUACAAGCUAUGCGGACGAUCCGGUGUGCGGGCGCGCAGCUUGAACUCGGCAUUGGUUAGCAGCUCCAUAAACUUGUGCGCCCUGUACAGGUACCUCAUCUCGUUGGUCAGGCGGAACAGGAGCAGGAAGACAUAGCCAUUGCCGGCGACGCCAUGGCAGAUGCCCGGUCCCUUGCGCAGGAAGCCCUUCUUCCACACCAUAUCCGCACAGCGACGCAGCGAGGCCAAGUACUUCUCCUCCUUGAAGAUCAGAUAGGCCUUGGCCAGCACAUAAACGGCGCCGGGUGCCCCAUGGCACCAGUGCACCAGACGCUUAUCCCUGCCGGAGCGCAGAUCCUCCAGGGCCACCGGAAAGUUGCCAUCGCUGUCCUGCAGCUCCAGAAAGAAGUCAAUCGAGCGCUUGAUGUCGCGCAACUCGGCGGCCGGCGCCGAAAUGGGAAGCGUGCGGAACCACGGGCUGUCCAACAGCAUGUGCAGAAUGGCGCACAGGCCAUGGGCCGCACCCAGGUACUCCGUGCCAUGGUAUUGGUACAUUAGCGGACACGGCGAGUUGUUCUGCUUGCUGUACUCGCGGCCGCUGGUCACGAUUAGCUGGCAUAUGGAUACCAGGUCAUCGUCGGUGAUCUUCUUCUCCGGCAGUACAUCGUUUAGCCAAUAGCAACCGGAUAGAUAGCCGGCACGUCCAACCAGCACCUCAUCGCAGCCGUAUUUGGUGUGCAUGAACUCCUUGCUGCACGGGAUGCCCGACUUGAAGUUGGCCAAGUCGUCGGAAAGCUCCUCGGUCUCCUUGAGCGCCUGCGAUAUGGCUGCCGAGACGGCAUAGAUACCAGCAUUGCCGCACAGAAAGGAGUAGCGCUCGGCGGAGCGCUUCUUGUACCGAUUGGCAUUCACCUUGGCAUUGCGGAUGAAGGAGGCCGCGUGAUCCAGUGCCGGAUAGAGAUCGCGUGUCUGCUCGCAGCUGUUGAGCUUCCAGAACAUGAAGGCUAUGCCGGCAUUGCCCACAUACAGAUCACCGCGAUUGUCCUCAUCAUCGCUGUUCGGAUGACAGUGCUCCAGUAUGGCGUCCACAUAGGUGCAAAUCAGAUUUUUGAUGUGCUCCUCGUCGCUGGCGAAAGGUGUAUUCUCCCCGCCGGCGAAAUCGGGAAAGGGAUUCUUCAGGUAGCGGCGUUCCAUGGCAAACUCCUGGCCAGGAUCGAUGGUCAGUUGGCCGGUCUGCUUGACGUCUGCCUCUUCCACUGGACGACUUGCAAUGGCACCAGCUGAAAUCGUGCAAACAUGCGGUAUGUGGUGAGUGCAAGUUAGGAAAUCGAUUUGCCGGCUUUAAGGGCGCGGUCGGGCGUCUGGCAGCCACCACCUCCUCCUCCUCAAACACUCACCUGUCUCAGGUGGAAAUGGCAGUCGUGACUUCGUCGAGCACCUUCUGGCAAUGGGACGAAGCUGCGGAUUGACCAGAAAAUUAAAUAUAUGCAGUAUUUGGCUAACUUUUGUUGUAUUAUCACCGAAAUACGAGUUGUGUGUGUUUGCAGGGACGAGAAUGUUUGUCAAGUGUGUCUAUGAAGUGGAAAGUCGGCGUGGGUGUUUUUCUCACAGCCACCUAAAAUCCGGAAUCUUGGCGCUUCUGCGGGAGAACUUAUUUUCGAACUGUCGACCGGCUCGACUCGAAAUAUUUAAACAAUUCUUGACAGGAAUGCUUAGGUCCUGUCGAAAAAAGCUGAAUGAAACAUCGAUUGCAUAUCGAUACAUCCCUAGAGCCCAAUUUCACUUUGCCAUCGGUUUUUGAAUUAAAAAAAAAAAAACAGAGCUUCUGUACGACCAAUAACAAAUAUUGCACGAGGUAAAUUUCUAACUAAUUAGGUAAUACGGCAAACGAUCCGUAAUAAAAGUAAUUAAGCUAUCGAUAACAACGAACCCAACUGCUAUAAAUAUCGGUUAAAAGCUAGCUACAUUUAUCGCUAUCAAGCUUAAAAUUGACUAACAUUUUAAAUUGAUCUUAAAAAAUGCUUUCUUUUUAGAGAUUGUAUAUAAUAUAUGGACAAUAUAUUAUUUAAUUUCUAGGUCUGGAGUGUAUUAAGACACUAAUUGAAAUUAGCCAAAUUGAAACACAAAGUUCGUACAUUUUGCUUCCUAACUCGAUCGGUUUAUUUUAAUAACAGUAUAAAUAUGUAUGUAUAUUUUAGAGGGUAUAAUCCUCGCAUCACAUGUUCGUCUCCAGUGCUCACUUCCUGCGCUGACCACCACUCAGAAUGGUAACGAUGCGGAUGAAUAUGUUCAGCACGUCCAUGUAGAUCGACAUUGAGCUAAAAGAUAGAACCAAAAAGUAUAGAGUUUCAGAGCACGGUAUGGAUGAGGAGUGAACUUACGCGUUGAUUGGAUCGUAGGGAGUGUAGCUGUACUGGGGAUAGACCUCAGCGCGACGGACCAUGCGCUGAGUGUCAUAGAGCAGGAAGCCACUGAAGAGGACGAGGCCGCCAUAUAGGGACAUGGAGGCCAGACCUGCGAAAAGAGAGUUGAAUGGGUUAACUCCGCUUGACAAUUCAUAAAAUAUAAUGCGAAGUGGUGCUAGCCCCAGUGGAACUUUCUGGCAACUCACCUGCGCCCAGCGCCGUGGUGGGCGGCAGCCACAUGGAUGCCAGCGAGGAGGCGAACACCACGCCCAAGCCAAUGGCCAGUGGGCCGCCCAUGUAGAGGAACUUAUCGCUGGGUGCACACGCGGCGAUCGUGGACAAGCCACCAACAAUGCCGCCCGUGUAGAGAGCGGCGCGCGUCAAAAUCGGUCCGCCCAUGAAGCAAAUGGGUGCGAUCACGGCGCCCAGAAUGGCGCAGUGCACCGCCCAGGCCAGAUGCUUGGCUCCCAGACCCGGCUGGUACUCAAUCGAGCGGGCAACUGCUCCACUACCAAUGACCAGCGCCAGCGAAGCAAUGGUCGCCUAAGCGAUUAAAGGCAAAUGAAGAGGAAGUGUUAUGUUCUGUUGUGUCUGUUGGUCAGGUAGGCGGCAAGAACUACGAAUUGUGCAAGAGGACUCACCAAGAUGCCGCCACGCGAGGCCAGCUCCAGGAGACGGUGCGAACGGAAGGUGGCUGCUGCUGCGGCCGCGGUGAGAACGCAAGAGCCACCGAAAAAGGCAUAGGUGCUCUGGAUACGAUCGCGCACAAACUGGGGCCACAUGCUAAACGGAAAAUAUAAUCUCAGUUAUUAAAGUCCCUGUAUUUCGCAAGUGAGAGACUCGUGCUAUCACUCACAUGGCAUUAUCCGCGAUGCUGGUUUGUUUUCCCAAUCCCACGCCGUAGUAGCACAGGGCGCCCAAUCCCACGGCGGCUGCUCCGGCGGCAGCGCCCUUGCCCAUGGAGUAUGCUGCACGCCAGAAGAGUACAAUUAGACGACCGAUAUACAUAGAUGGGGGAUUACACAAGAGACUUACCAUUGGCACUUGGCGGACCCAUCAGUUUCUCCUUCAGCGAGGGAGCACGCAUCUCUUCGACGGGCUCACGGGUGCGAACCACCCUGCGGGCGUAGGUGCGCACCGUGGAGAGAUUCAGAUUGGGAUUGGCAUUGGCCCGGAACAGCUGGGCCGGAGACUGGGCCAGGAUCUUGAUAGCCCCGGCUGGACGGGCGGUGGAAAGUGCUAGACGCAGCAACAUUGUGUUGUUGUGGUGAAAUUCGGUUAGAGGGCAAUUGGUUGUCCUUCGGUAAGUGCUGCUUGAUUCGGAUUCCUAUGUGGGGCACUAGCGUUUCUUCCAACUGAUUUUAAUUGCUCACUGCGGCUUUAUAAUUUGUUGAUUCGUAGAAAUUGUUAAAUAUUUUACUGUCUCUUGUGCUUUAUUAUCGAUAAGUGGUGCAAUCGUUAUUCGAUGUCUGGCUACGUGAUAACUAAAUGCCUAUCGCAGACGGCCACAAAUACCGCUAAUAUCGAUAUUAUGCUAAAAUAUAAUAUUGAAAAUCCCGAGAAAAUAAAUAGAAAUAUAAACUCAACGAUCCUGAAGUAAGGAAUUCAAAUCGUAGCCCGUUGUCUGAGAUAAUUUAUUUGAUAAGCUAAGCAAUGCUAUCGAUAGGGCGCCAAGUUUGAAUAGCGAGUACAGUGGAAAAAAUACACUUCUUUAGACAAAAAAAAUGUGAAAUUUAAAUUUAUUUAACAUAUUCAAGUAUUCCGCAAUAAACUCCAUUUGUAUUUGUACACAUUAGAUCUGCACUAAAGACUAAGUAGUCCUAGGAACAGAGUACCAGUUCACUUCUCACACCUGAUACUUCCUCGCCGACGCCGUGUGAAUCUCGCCACGAGGGGGUGUCCGCCCGUCGAUCACUAUCAUCUCAGUGAGAUGGGAUGAUCGCAGAGUACCAUAGUGGUCAUAUAUGUUGGUCUGCUCCAGAGUUCCCCCCGAAUUCGACUCGUAGCUCUUGCACUCAUACAGUGGGCAGCAUCGGGGAUAUUCGGCAUGCGGGUUCGUCGAUGGAACUGGCGUGCAAUUGCCCUGCGUCAGUUUCGGCACCUGGCAGCUGGACCAUGGAUGAGUACGAUGAUCUGUUACCCGAUGCUAUGGCAUACUAGUACGGCACGCUUACCUAUCCUCCCAGAGUUGCAGCGUUUCCAGGCAUUGGAUGCGGACGCACUGAUCCUCUCGCGUGAAGACUUCACCGAUAUAAAGCUGCCGACCCGUCAAUGUAUCCAUACAGUACUGCUGAUUGUACAGAUACGCCGAGGCUAUAGGGUGAAAGGGAAAAUCAACGUAUAUUACUGGAAAAUAUAUGUGUUAUUUGGAAAAAUCGUACGUCGAUAAGGAAUCGCUUGGCUGCCACCGAUGAUCAAUGACAUCAUGGCCACUAAAUAAAUCAUGCUGCUAAUUGACUCCAUUUGUGAAAAUUUGCUAUUCGAAAGAACUGAGAUCGGCGGACAGAAUUUGGCCCGACGUUUGCAAAGUUUAGCGCACAACUGAAGUCCGUUCGGUUAAUCUUCGUUCAUUUUUAUAUUAAAAAACCUAGAGUACAUUGUUU